GUUAUACAAAAAUAUUCAUAAUUACCAAUUGGAUAAUGGAAUAAUGAUCUAAUAUUUUCUUCUUGAGUAUGGAGCCAAAAUGAGCUUAUUUCAUUAUAACUCCCUGUUGGACAAUACAUCUGCAACAAACCUAUCAUAAAGCUAGUUGACCAUCAAAACCUUUCACCUGAAAAUCUUCUACAUGACUACUGAAAAAUUACAAACAUAAAAAUGUGAUCCAAAAGCGGCCGAUAGUCCCGCGGCAGCGCCUGCUGCCAUCAUGUCUCUCCUUUCUCGAUCAUUUUGUAAAGGUCCAAUAAUUUUCCGACUAGGACCAUUUCUAAAACCUUUCCACC